CCAGUGGCGAAGGCGGCUGUCUGGUCUGCAACUGACGCUGAGGCUCGAAAGCAUGGGUAGCGAACAGGAUUAGAUACCCUGGUAGUCCAUGCCGUAAACGAUGAUUACUAAGUGUUGGAGGGUUUCCGCCCUUCAGUGCUGCAGCUAACGCAUUAAGUAAUCCGCCUGGGGAGUACGACCGCAAGGUUGAAACUCAAAAGAAUUGACGGGGGCCCGCACAAGCGGUGGAGCAUGUGGUUUAAUUCGAAGCUACGCGAAGAACCUUACCAGGUCUUGACAUCUUCUGACAGUCUAAGAGAUUAGAGGUUCCCUUCGGGGACAGAAUGACAGGUGGUGCAUGGUUGUCGUCAGCUCGUGUCGUGAGAUGUUGGGUUAAGUCCCGCAACGAGCGCAACCCUUAUUACUAGUUGCCAGCAUUAAGUUGGGCACUCUAGUGAGACUGCCGGUGACAAACCGGAGGAAGGUGGGGACGACGUCAAAUCAUCAUGCCCCUUAUGACCUGGGCUACACACGUGCUACAAUGGAUGGUACAACGAGUCGCGAAACCGCGAGGUUAAGCUAAUCUCUUAAAACCAUUCUCAGUUCGGACUGUAGGCUGCAACUCGCCUACACGAAGUCGGAAUCGCUAGUAAUCGCGGAUCAGCAUGCCGCGGUGAAUACGUUCCCGGGCCUUGUACACACCGCCCGUCACACCAUGAGAGU
rnacentral:rRNA from 1 species